CCCUUUGGAAAGGGGGGUUAAGAUAAAGCAGAACUUCCUGGAAGCGAGGCGCUGGUCCCAACCUCAUAGACACAAGAAUGGACAAAGCUAGGAUUAGGAGUGACCCUUGGCUUCAGUUUCCAUCUCAAACUUCUACCCUCUAGACGUCUCUUUCGUCAGGCCCCCGGGUCAAACGCGGAGGUUGCUCUUCUUGCAAGGCCUGGGGUCACACACACCCCACUCCCUUCCCGGCCCAGCCACGACCCAUCUGAGCUCUCCUAAUACCGACUUUCUCAGGCUCAAUCCCGGCCAGUUGACCACUGCUGAUGGCGGAGAAACGCAGAGUACCUCCCGGUUCCCGUCGCUGCUUUGGGCGACUCGGGCGCACCGCGAAGGGAAGACCCUCCGGCCGGGUUUUGGGGGGCUCCUCCGAGGGAGUCUGCGUGCGGUAGGGUCUGGAGCUUUCCGCGAGCCCGCCCGGGAAAGAUACGGGAACUGGAGGAGUUCCCGACCCGCUACCCUUUCCGGCUGAUUUUCUGCGCACAUCGCCACGGUUCGCGGCCAGCUACCUGCGCGGUUCCAUUUAAGAAAGGUUAGUUUGCGGAUCGCUGCUAGUUAGAUCAAUAGAGCGCGCCGGCAGAAAGAAAAGUUCCGAAGUAGGAAAGGUAUGUCGCUUUUUAAAGAUUUUUUUUAAAUGCAGCCACAUUUGUCUUUAUUAAAACACACAGACGCAAUUUAAUGUAUGUAUUAAAAACACAAGUACUUCUGACUUGAUUGCAAAGGAGCUGUUUCUGGUGAUGAUGGAAAUAUUCUCUCUUGUUUGGGGAUGGUGAUAAUCCAUAAACUGAGUUGUCAAAACUCGUAGAAACUCUGCACUGAAGCUCUGUGCAUUGUAUCGUAUAUAAAUUGUACAUCCCUUAAAACAUCAGAACGUAAUCCUGUAGGCAUAGAAAUUACUACGUGUCAUUGCGUAAUUGCAUAUCUGAAUGCCAUUGAACGCAGCUGUACUUGAGUAUUUUUAGCAACUAAGCGCAAUUCUGUUGGAUUAUUUAUCUUUGCAAGCUCCGCGAAGACGGGAAAGGGAGGACAAACGGCGGCUGACAUCACGGGGGGCGGGUCGAAAGCCCUAAGAAAAGCCUUAGGACCGGAGCAGC
rnacentral:lncRNA from 1 species